rnacentral:rRNA from 1 species
AUACGUAGGGGGCGAGCGUUGUCCGGAAUGAUUGGGCGUAAAGGGCGCGUAGGCGGCCCGGUAAGUCUGGAGUGAAAGUCCUGUUUUUAAGAUGGGAAUUGCUUUGGAUACUGUCGGGCUUGAGUGCAGGAGAGGUAAGUGGAAUUCCCAGUGCAGCGGUGAAAUGCGUAGAGAUUGGGAGGAACACCAGUGGCGAAGGCGACUUACUGGACUGUAACUGACGCUGAGGCGCGAAAGUGUGGGGAGCAAACAGGAUUAGAUACCCUGGUAGUCCACGCUGUAAACGAUGAAUACUAGGUGUGGGGGGACUGACCCCCUCCGUGCCGCAGUUAACACAAUAAGUAUUCCACCUGGGGAGUACGAUCGCAAGAUUGAAACUCAAAGGAAUUGACGGGG